rnacentral:rRNA from 1 species
UACAGAGGGUGCAAGCGUUGUUCGGAACUAUUGGGCGUAAAGGGCGCGUAGGCGGUGCGGUAAGUCACCUGUGAAACCUCUGGGCUUAACCCAGAGCCUGCAGGCGAAACUGCCGUGCUGGAGUGUGGGAGAGGUGCGUGGAAUUCCCGGUGUAGCGGUGAAAUGCGUAGAUGUCGGGAGGAACACCUGUGGCGAAAGCGGCGCACUGGACCACAACUGACGCUGAGGCGCGAAAGCUAGGGGAGCAAACAGG